CUUUCCUAAAGGAUAUAGAUUUCUCUCUUCUUUGGCUCCAAUAAUUUGUGCCCAAACUUCAGACCAGUAAUUCCCCAGAUGAGCCUGCUGCUACCCUACUUGCGUCUUACUUUUGCAAGCUGUUUCCAUUCUUAUUAGGCUAAUAACUGAAGACAGGAUCAAGAUAUCUUUCUAACCUAUCCAAAAUACCUGAAUAUUCUGUCACAUUCAACAAUUUACAGUGAAGAAGAAGAAUCAAGUGUACAUCCCAAUCUGAAUUACUGCAUUCAAAGAAAAAUUACCACUGCUAGCCACUCUACAAGAAUAGCACAGGAUUGGUGGAAGCACGGUGACAUUAGAACGCAUCAUAAACAUAUCUGUAGCAUGGGACAAUUGACCUGCCUAGAAGACGACUGGGCCAGGAGCAUGACAUAAUUUCAAGUCAGUUGAAGAAAAUAGAAAAGGAACUGCUGAGUAGACGUACUGGUCCAAGAACAGUGAAAGACAUGUAAAGCAGAUGUAACCCCAAACAACAGCUGAAGAAGAGUUGCCCAACUCCGCCAGCCUAGAUCAAACUGCAGUCAAAUGUACACCCUUGAGCAUGGGAAUAAAUUCAUGUUUUUGUAAAUCAAAAAAAAAAAAAAA
rnacentral:lncRNA from 1 species